CACGUUGAGAUUAAAAAGCCCCACGACCGCCUCAUCGUUGAGCGCUGACCCUCGAUCCAGCGGGACACUUCACAGAAAAAGACACCACAGAUAUAAAAAUGAAUACAAUUUGGGUGCUGUGUUUUGCAGUGCUGAUCAUCACCAUACCAUUUUCAACUCAGAAUAGCGAUGCUCCGAAGUCCUCGUCUGGAGGCAGCUCAUCCUCCUCUAGUUCGUCCACGAAUUCCAGCGCUGUAGGACUGGGUCCCGUGACCACCACACUGUACCUGCUGAUCCCGGCGGCGACCCUGGGCUUUAUACACAGCAUCCUAAACUGAUGGACGGAGGGCGUUUGCCAUAGAUGACCAAGAUAUAGACAGUGGCGAAAUGGACAGCCAUUCACCCAGAGAGCGAUCUUUCUUUUUCACGAAUCUGGAAGUCAGAAGAUGCCACGGCUCAUUUUUAUUUGUAACGGAUUUUAAGUAAUACAAAUUAAAAAUAAAGUUUGGGGAAUUUCUCCAAGAGGGAUUUGUUUGGUUACAUCUGUUUUAGGGAGCUUGAAAGACACCUGCAACUCGGGGUCCUGCUACAGAACUACACCACUGGGCUCUUUGUCGUGUUUUGCACCAAAGUCACUGUUUUCACCUACUCGAUGGCAAAUUUUAUUGGUACAGUUUGAUUCUCCAAUGCUCAUUAUAUGAUUAAGCAGUUAAAAGAGAUUAAGCAGUUAAAAAAAAAACUCGAUUACUCAAAUCAGAAAUAAUGUACAUUUAAAUUUCAGCAAAAUUUCCAUUUGUAUAAUGACUUUAUGUGUCUGUGUCAGUGUACAUCCAUGUGUCUGUAUGCACAAUUAAAAUAGAUGAUCAAAUAUGUUUUUUUAUGUCAUUUUUUCUUUCAAAUCGGUAUUAAUGUUUUCUUGUUUAAAAUAUGCAAUCAAGAGUUUAAUCCUCAUGUGUUUUAUUAAAGAAUUUGAUGAGUACAGCCAACAAACAAACAACAACAAAGCAAUACAAUAUAGUUUUAGUAAGGUAAUAGUGCGUCCUAGACUGAAAUGCAUUGAGAAUUUAGUCCAGCCUAUGUGUUAUUUUAAAAACAGGUUUAGGAGAUGAAGGCACUUUACUGAGAGGAUGAUGUGAUGCUCUUCUUAAACCAAUGAGCAGUCAUUUAAACACGUCACACACCGAUCUCGGUGAGAAUAAAACCCCUCCUGUCACGCAUUACUGAACACAGACUCUUCCUCACAGACAGCAUCUCUGAAAAAAAAGAAGAAAAAGGCAUAAUCAUGAAUAAAAUACUGGUAUUGUGCAUCGGGUUACUGCUUAUAACCUUACCUUUUUCCUCUCAGGAGGAACCAAAGGAGAAGACAACUAAGUCUCCUAAGACUCCUGCUACCAGCGCUGCAGGACUGGCUCCUCUGCACUCCACUCUGUGCUUUCUGAUUCCAGCUGCCACCCUGGGCUUCCUCAACUGGCUGGGGAAUGUUUAGAUGACCAAAAGGAGAAAAAAUUUUUUGAAGAUAGAACACACAACUCAGCAAGAGGAUGCCACAACAACUCACCUAUUUUAAAAUUAAGAACAAUUUGUGUAAUGUGCCGAGGGUCCUCCUCGUUGUGUUUUAACCCCGCGUUAAAUUUCAUUCAUCAGUCGCAACAUCUUGUGAAACACCGUAUGAAUCUAAUCAUUGUUAUCCACAUUCUCCAAAAUAUUUUUGUCCUAACUUGAAGUAGUAAUUGCAUUGAUUAGGAAUUUGUCUGUAUGCACAAUUAAAGUAGAUGAUUGUAUA